UCGCGACGGCGCACGGGUGAGUAACACGUAUGCAACCUGCCCUCUUCAGGGGGACAACCUUCCGAAAGGGAGGCUAAUCCCGCGUAUAUCGGUUUCGGGCAUCCGAGAUCGAGGAAAGAUUCAUCGGAAGAGGAUGGGCAUGCGGCGCAUUAGCUAGACGGCGGGGUAACGGCCCACCGUGGCGACGAUGCGUAGGGGUUCUGAGAGGAAGGUCCCCCACACUGGUACUGAGACACGGACCAGACUCCUACGGGAGGCAGCAG
rnacentral:rRNA from 1 species